rnacentral:rRNA from 1 species
CCUACGGGAGGCAGCAGUGGGGAAUAUUGGACAAUGGGCGCAAGCCUGAUCCAGCCAUGCCGCGUGUGUGAAGAAGGCCUUAUGGUUGUAAGGCACUUUAAGCGAGGAGGAGGCUACUUUAGUUAAUACCUAGAGAUAGUGGACGUUACUCGCAGAAUAAGCACCGGCUAACUCUGUGCCAGCAGCCGCGGUAAU